AUUGAACGCUGGCGGAAUGCUUUACACAUGCAAGUCGAACGGCAGCACGGGUGCUUGCACCUGGUGGCGAGUGGCGAACGGGUGAGUAAUGCACCGGAACGUAUCCAAUAAUGGGGGAUAACGCACCGAAAGGUGUGCUAAUACCGCAUACGCCCUGAGGGGGAAAGCGGGGGAUCGUAAGACCUCGCGUUAAUGGAGCGGCCGAUGCCGGAUUAGGUAGUUGGUGAGGUAAAGGCUCACCAAGCCUUCGAUCUGUAGCUGGUCUGAGAGGACGACCAGCCACACUGGGACUGAGACACGGCCCAGACUCCUACGGGAGGCUG
rnacentral:rRNA from 1 species